rnacentral:rRNA from 1 species
CAGCCGCCGCGGUAAUACGUAGGUGGCAAGCGUUGUCCGGAAUUAUUGGGCGUAAAGGGCUCGCAGGCGGUUUCUUAAGUCUGAUGUGAAAGCCCCCGGCUCAACCGGGGAGGGUUAUUGGAAACUGGGAAACUUGAGUGCAGAAGAGGAGAGUGGAAUUCCACGUGUAGCGGUGAAAUGCGUAGAGAUGUGGAGGAACACCAGUGGCGAAGGCGACUCUCUGGUCUGUAACUGACGCUGAGGAGCGAAAGCGUGGGGAGCGAACAGGAUUAGAUACCCGUGUAGUCCCUGUCUCUUAUAC